rnacentral:misc_RNA from 1 species
ACCCAUAACAAACAUUUUGCUGGGACGACAGCCGUUGCAUGAGGUGCUUACUCAGGAACAAGAACAAACGAUAGAGUCCUGAGUGUGAUUGGGACCAAUUAACUCUCAGAAUGAAUCCAAACAUAAAGAGCCUGUUGGAUAGCUCCAAGUCUAAAGACAGAUCAUCCCUGAAUGAGGGGUACAAACAACUGAAGGAGCUAGAAUCCAAAGCCCUGGAAUACCAGCGAGAGAACACAAAGUAUGACAGUUGGAACAUACCCGAGCCGUACGUGGCGGAGGCAAGGGAGAAGUUCGGCACCCUGAGUCAGCUCAUUGUCCACGGACACGACGUAUUUGACCGCGCCCUAGAAGAGUUUCGAACCCUCAUCCACUUGUAUGCGGCCCAGAGUAAGCGCCAUGGAGAGACUGUAAAGACCAAGCUUCAGAAGAGGGCUAGUAUAGAGAUGGUAUUAAACCGUGUGAAGGACAAUACGGACACCGCGAGCCGGCGGUGGAGGCUCGCAGAGGGAGACUACCGGAAUCUGCUGGACAUCGAGAAGAAGUGGGUCAAGGAGACAAAGCGGAAUGAGGCCGCCAGGGAAAUGAAUUUGAUGAGUGGUAGGGACGCAACUUUAGACGAGAACCGAUACAAACAUUUGAGGAACAUGAUUCAGAAGGAGGGGCCAAAGGAUACAAACGCCCAGAAAGACCUGGACGAUCUACUGUUGACUGACCGGAAAUACUACACCUUUCACCCUGAGGAGGUACAAAAAAGUUCAUUACAUCAUAUCAAAGAUACUAUGUUUUCAAAGAAAAAAGAUUCAGUGACCCCUGAAAUCGUGCGGAAACAGAGUUUAAAAGAAAGAAAACCAACGGGUGGACCAACACGCAACCCACACAGGGGCACGCUAAAGCGGACCCCAUCCCAGACAAGCCUGUCUAGUGACGAGGGGGACGGGGGACGGAAGAAUCCUCCCCCGAGGGACGGGAAGAAGAUCCCUGUCUCCAUGGAACGGUUACAAGAAAUGGAACAGCGAGAGAAACUUUAUCUUGCCAAGAUAGAGGAGCUUACAACCAGACUGAGCAGUUUCGCUAGUAAACAAUUGCUAGAUGGAAACCCAAACAUCGCGGACCUGAGUGAUCCGAACAGACCGACCAGACUUUGUGAGAAGUUCAACUGUGUGUACGACAAUGAGUGGACGGAGGCGUUCGAAGAGUUACAGGAGACGGGGGAGAAGGACGAAGCCAUCCUGAAAACUCUGAUGGAAAUCAUUAUCAAUGCUGUCAGCUUUUGUAAGGACGUCAAAGACCAGCAGCUGCAGCAGUUGAUGGAGGGGAUGCACUUUUGUAUGGUCCAUGUAAACUGGACUAAUAAGGACGAGGAUGUCCGAGUCGAUAAGAAGUCUACCUCGCAUGAUCCCAAGUGCUUUGCCUCUAUAUCGAGAAAUGCCAGGGAUUUCCAAAAGGCGUCGGCUAAAGCCUCAGUCCCGUCCUUGUGUGUGAUGUUUAAGGAGACCUACAUUAAAGGUGCGUGCAAGUUGGAAUACCGGAAACUGACGAAUUUAGAACACUACGUCGACAAGGUGGUGGAGUUGGUGUGGCUGAUGGUGGUUCAGGAUCCGCCCAUGAGUAUUUGCUGGCAGAAGGAGGGGGAACAGAUGGACAAGAAGACCUACAAGUACUACGAGAAGAGGGGGGAGGUGGUCCGCCUGACAGUGUGGCCCGCCGUGCUGCUAUACGAGAAUGGGCCCUUGGUCAGUAAGGGUUUCAUCUGGCCCAAAUAGACCAGUUGUGAUAAAUAUUCGUGAUAGUAUGGGAAAGCCCCUCAAUCUAUAGUAUAACCAAUUAUAUUAUACAUGUACUAGUAUUGUUUACUAUGUUUAUAUUGUAUAUUUUUAACACUACAUUAAAAUACUCCUUUUUAAAACUGUUUUAUCAGUUUACCAAAAUUAAGCUGCCCCGUGUUCAUGUUCAAUUUGAAGAAAAAAAAUAAUUUUUAAACUUUUUUUUCGCAUUUCUCUUACGACAAGAGACUAUGUUUAUAGACUAGGACACUAGUUUACCAGCAACACGCAACAUUGUAUGAACGUUAACGUAAUGGCUCUCAUAUAAAAAUUGCCUUUUUUGCAAUAGAAAGUCUCCCCUCAAUUAAUACAUGUAUAUACAUGUAUAUGAUGGUAAAACCUGUAUAUCUCUGUGUAACCUGUCUCAUUAUUGAAAUAAAAGUUUCAGUUUAUG